rnacentral:rRNA from 1 species
CACGUAGGGGGCGAGCGUUGUCCGGAUUUAUUGGGCGUAAAGAGCUCGUAGGCGGCUCAGUAAGUCGGGUGUGAAAUCCCCGGGCUUAACCUGGGAACUGCGUUUGAAACUGAGGAGCUCGAGUGUGGAAGAGGGGGGUGGAAUUCCAGGUGUAGCAGUGAAAUGCGUAGAGAUCUGGAGGAACACCGAUGGCGAAGGCAGCCCCCUGGGCUAACACUGACGCUCAUGCACGAAAGCGUGGGGAGCAAACAGG